GAUCAAGCUACAAAGGGCGCAUGGUGGAUGCCUUGGCACCAGGAGCCGAAGAAGGACGUGGUAAGCUGCGAAAAGCUGCGGGUAGCCGCAAACAGGCUGUGAUCCGCAGAUGUCCGAAUGGGGGAACCCACCUAGUAAACACUAGGUAUCCUUAACUGAAUCCAUAGGUUAAGGAGGGCACACCCGGGGAACUGAAACAUCUAAGUACCCGGAGGAAGAGAAAGAAUAAUCGAUUCCCUAAGUAGCGGCGAGCGAAAGGGGAAGAGCCCAAACCAGAGGAAACUCUGGGGUUGCGGACAGGUCAUAACGGUUUAAAAUCUCUAGUCGAAGAGGCCUGGAAAGGCCGGCCACAGAAGGUAAUAGCCCUGUAGGCGAAAGAGAAUUUAAGCUAGACCUGAUCCAGAGUACCACGGGACACGUGAAACCCUGUGGGAAGCAGGGAGGACCACCUCCCAAGGCUAAAUACUACCUGGUGACCGAUAGCGUAUAGUACCGUGAGGGAAAGGUGAAAAGAACCCCGGGAGGGGAGUGAAAUAGAACCUGAAACCGUGUGCCUACAAGCAGUCGGAGGGCGUUAAGGCCUGACGGCGUGCUUUUGUAGAACGAGCCAGCGAGUUACGGUAUGUAGCGAGGUUAAGCACUUAAGGUGUGAAGCCGUAGGGAAACCGAGUCUGAAAAGGGCGAAAAGUUGCAUGCCGUAGACCCGAAACCGGGUGACCUAUCCAUGGACAGGGUGAAGGUGAGGUAAAACUCACUGGAGGCCCGAACCACGUUGGUGUUGAAAAACCAUGGGAUGAGCUGUGGAUAGCGGAGAAAUUCCAAUCGAACUCGGAGAUAGCUGGUUCUCCCCGAAAUAGCUUUAGGGCUAGCCUCGGGUUAGAGACGUGGAGGUAGAGCACUGAAUGGGCUAGGGGCCGUCUAGGUUACCGAACCUUAUCAAACUCCGAAUGCCAUGAUCUUGAUGCCCGGGAGUCAGACUACGAGUGAUAAGAUCCGUGGUCAAAAGGAAACAGCCCAGACCAUCAGCUAAGGUCCCAAAGUGUAUGUUAAGUGGAAAAGGAUGUGGGAUUUCCAAGACAACCAGGAUGUUGGCUUAGAAGCAGCCAUUCAUUUAAAGAGUGCGUAAUAGCUCACUGGUCGAGAGGUCCUGCGCCGAAGAUGUCCGGGGCUCAAACAUACCACCGAAGCUAUGGACCCUAACGGGUGGUAGGGAGCUUUCUUAGCGGGUAGAAGUCAGACCGGAAGGACUGGUGGACUGCUAAGAAGUGAGAAUGCUGGCAUAAGUAGCGAGAAAUAGGUGAGAAUCCUAUUCGCCGAAAACCUAAGGUUUCCUCAGGAAGGCUCGUCCGCUGAGGGUUAGUCGGGACCUAAGCCGAGGCCGAAAGGCGUAGGUGAUGGACAAUCGGUUGAUAUUCCGAUACCACCAGUAGCCGUUUGAGAGAUGGGGUGACGCAGGAGGAUAGGCUGAGCACACUGAUGGAUAUGUGUGUCUAAGGCACAAGGCGUGCCUCCCAGGCAAAUCCGGGAGGAUAAGCUGAGUGUUGAUGGGGAGUCGUAAGACGAAGCAGCUGAUUUCACACUGCCGAGAAAAGCCUCUAUCGAGGAUGCUGGUGCCCGUACCGCAAACCGACACAGGUAGGUGAGGAGAGAAUCCUAAGGCGAGCGGGAGAACCCUUGUUAAGGAACUCGGCAAAUUGACCCCGUAACUUCGGGAGAAGGGGUGCCUACCGCAAGGUAGGCCGCAGAGAAUAGGCCCAGGCGACUGUUUAGCAAAAACACAGGUCUCUGCUAAGUCGAAAGACGAUGUAUAGGGGCUGACGCCUGCCCGGUGCUGGAAGGUUAAGGGGAAAGGUUAGCGCAAGCGAAGCUUUGAACCGAAGCCCCAGUAAACGGCGGCCGUAACUAUAACGGUCCUAAGGUAGCGAAAUUCCUUGUCGGGUAAGUUCCGACCCGCACGAAUGGCGUAACGACCUGGGCGCUGUCUCAACAAGGGACCCGGCGAAAUUGUAGUACAAGUGAAGAUGCUUGUUACCCGCGAUUGGACGGAAAGACCCCGUAGAGCUUUACUGCAGCUUAGCAUUGAGUUUCGGUAUUGUCUGUACAGGAUAGGUGGGAGGCAGAGAAGUAGCGUCGCUAGGCGCUAUGGAGCCGACGUUGGGAUACCACCCUGAUGAUACUGAAGCUCUAACCGGAGGCCAUGAAUCUGGUCACGGGACAUUGUUAGGCGGGCAGUUUGACUGGGGCGGUCGCCUCCUAAAGAGUAACGGAGGCGCCCAAAGGUUCCCUCAGUGCGGUUGGAAAUCGCGCGUAGAGUGCAAAGGCAGAAGGGAGCCUAACUGUGAGACUGACAAGUCGAGCAGUGACGAAAGUCGGGCUUAGUGAUCCGGUGGUACCGAGUGGAAGGGCCAUCGCUCAACGGAUAAAAGCUACCUCGGGGAUAACAGGCUGAUCUCCCCAAGAGUCCACAUCGACGGGGAGGUUUGGCACCUCGAUGUCGGCUCGUCGCAUCCUGGGGCUGAAGUAGGUCCCAAGGGUUGGGCUGUUCGCCCAUUAAAGCGGCACGCGAGCUGGGUUCAGAACGUCGUGAGACAGUUCGGUCCCUAUCCGUCGCGGGCGUAGGAAAUUUGAGAGGAGCUGUCCUUAGUACGAGAGGACCGGGAUGGACGAACCUCUGGUGCACCAGUUGUCACGCCAGUGGCACAGCUGGGUAGCCAAGUUCGGAAGGGAUAAGCGCUGAAGGCAUCUAAGCGCGAAGCCCACCUCAAGAUGAGAUUUCCCAUAGCGUUAAGCUAGUAAGACCCCUGAAAGAACAUCAGGUUGAUAGGCCAGAGGUGUAAGCGUCGUGAGGCGUUUAGCUGACUGGUACUAAUAGGUCGAGGGCUUGAUCAU
rnacentral:rRNA from 1 species